GUGCCUGCUUCAUGCAACACAUAAACUAAAACUGGAACAAUACAGAGAAUAUUAGUAUGGUGCCUGAACAAAGAUGACAUGUAAAUUCAUGAAGCAUUCCAUAUUAUC
ensembl:snRNA U6 U6 spliceosomal RNA